UACGAGGGGGGCAAGCGUUGUUCGGAAUCACUGGGCGUAAAGGGUGCGUAGGCGGGUCUUUAAGUCAGGGGUGAAAUCCUGGAGCUCAACUCCAGAACUGCCUUUGAUACUGAGGAUCUUGAGUUCGGGAGAGGUGAGUGGAACUGCGAGUGUAGAGGUGAAAUUCGUAGAUAUUCGCAAGAACACCAGUGGCGAAGGCGGCUCACUGGCCCGAUACUGACGCUGAGGCACGAAAGCGUGGGGAGCAAACAGGG
rnacentral:rRNA from 1 species